ACAAGUCUGGAGUUUCUUCUUCAUUUGGUAUAUUGCAGCUCUACCUAAUCUUUAUUUACAUCUCCCUCGAACAUGAAUUUCAGGAUGAAGAUGAGGAAGGAAUAGCCAAGUAUACGCUCAGCUUGAGAGAAAACAAAUGCUUGAGUGAGGAGAACAAAUCCUUGAAUGAUAGCUUGUCUACCUGAGAAGAUGAAAUAAAAGGAAUAUGGAAAAUAAAAGAGUUCUUGCUAUUCAUCAGAUGUUGCGUCUACGACAUCACCCGUUUCAAUUGAAUGAUCUCCGAUUUUGUCUACAGACCAACUUUCUUGAUGCUACUAUAUAACACCUGACGGAGUUUAGAUUUCUUUUGGAGCGAGAUCUUGAAGAUUGAAGUUACAAGUCAAGAUGCAAGUUUAGAAGAUACACAAGCCCAUUAUAUUAUGCAAA